rnacentral:rRNA from 1 species
UGGGGAAUAUUGGGCAAUGGGCGAAAGCCUUACCCAGCAACGCCGCGUGAGGGAAGAAGGUUUUCGGAUUGUAAACCUCUGUCCUGGGGGACGAAGGAAGUGACGGUACCCCGGGAGGAAGCCCCGGCUAACUACGUGCCAGCAGCCGCGGUAAUACGUAGGGGGCGAGCGUUGUCCGGAAUUAUUGGGCGUAAAGGGCGCGUAGACGGCCGAGUAAGUUAUAGGUGAAAGGCCAUCUUUCAAGGAUGGAAUUGCCUGUAAUACUGCCUGGCUUGAGUGCAGGAGAGGGAAGCGGAAUUCCUAGUGUAGCGGUGAAAUGCGUAGAUAUUAGGAGGAACACCAGUGGCGAAGGCGGCUUUCUGGACUGUAACUGACGUUGAGGCGCGAAAGCGUGGGGAGCAAACAGGAUUAGAUACC